GCCCAGGUGGUGAAACAGGCAGACACACUAUCUUGAGGGGGUAGCGCCCUAUCGGGCAUGCGGGUUCAAAUCCCGCCCUGGGCA
rnacentral:tRNA from 1 species